GACGAACGCUGGCGGCGUGCCUAAUACAUGCAAGUCGAACGCAGGGGGGACGGGUGAGUAAAACGUGGGUAACCUCCCAUCAGAGGGGAUAACACUUGGAAACAGGUGCUAAACCGAUACUGAUGGAUGGACCCGCGGUGCAUGCGCUAGUUGGUGAGGUAACGGCUCACCAAGGCCACGAUGCCUAGCCGACCUGAGAGGGUGAUCGGCCACACUGGGACUGAGACACGGCCCAGACUCCUACGGGAGGCAGCAGUAGGGAAUAGUCGGCAAUGGACGAAAGUCUGACCGAGCAACGCCGCGUGAGUGAAGAAGGUUUUCGGAUUGUAAAACGCUGUUGUUAGAGAAGCGGUAUCUAACCAGAAAGCCACGGCUAACUACGUGCCAGCAGCCGCGGUAAUUC
rnacentral:rRNA from 1 species